rnacentral:rRNA from 1 species
UACGUAGGGGGCAAGCGUUGUCCGGAUUUAUUGGGCGUAAAGAGCGUGUAGGCGGCUGGGUAGGUCCGUUGUGAAAACUCGAGGCUCAACCUCGAGACGCCGAUGGAAACCCCCCAGCUAGAGUCCGGAAGAGGAGAGUGGAAUUCCUGGUGUAGCGGUGAAAUGCGCAGAUAUCAGGAGGAACACCGAUGGCGAAGGCAGAUCUCUGGGCCGUAACUGACGCUGAGGAGCGAAAGCGUGGGGAGCGAACAGG